rnacentral:sRNA from 1 species
GCUGGGAGUGGUGGUGCACACCUGUAAUCCCAGCAGCUUGGGAGGCCAAGGCAGGAGGAUCAAGAGUUCAAAGCCAGCCUCAG